AUGCACCCGGGGAUAAGCAAGUUCCCCCUCUCAAGGUUUUACCUCGGCAAGGUGACAGAUGGCCCCAACGUCCUCCAAAGGGAUUACGAGAGGAAGCUCCUGGCUGGCCCAAUGUACGGCCCCUACUCGUUCAUCGACAUCAAAGGCGGGACCGAGAGCUCGGGCGAGCAUGGCAUGAGCCUGAGCAACACGGCCGAGGCAGCCGCCGUGACCCGGAUCGGGGAGAGAUUGUUCAAUGAGUCGGUUCGCUCGGGACAAAAGCUCGCCGUAGGCGUGGUAUCGCCGUACAAGGUGCAAGUCCACGCCAUCCAGGAGAGCCUCGGAAGGCUCGAGUGCUGGGCACAUGGCGGCCGAGAAGGCUUCUCCCUGAAGGUUCAGACCGUGCACGGGUUCCAGGGCGCCGAGGAGGACGUCAUCGUCUUCUCCGCCGUGCACAGCAACAGCCACGGGUCGGUGGGGUUGCUGGCCGACUGGAGGCGCACGAACCUGGCGCUGACCCGGGCAAACACUGCCUUUGGAUCCUGGGCAACUCGGCGACGCUGUUGA
rnacentral:rRNA from 1 species